GACGAACGCUGGCGGCGUGCUUAACACAUGCAAGUCGAACGGAAAGGCCCUGCGUUUGUGGGGUGCUCGAGUGGCGAACGGGUGAGUAACACGUGAGUAACCUGCCCUUGACUUUGGGAUAACUUCAGGAAACUGGGGCUAAUACCGGAUAGGAGCUCCUGCUGCAUGGGGGGGGUUGGAAAGAUUCGGCGGUUGGGGAUGGACUCGCGGCUUAUCAGCUUGUUGGUGGGGUAGUGGCUGACCACGGCUUUGACGGGUAGCCGGCCUUGGAGGGUGACCGGCCACCUUGGGCCUGCGGUACGGCCCAGACUGCUACGGGAGGCAGCGGUGGGGAGUAUUGCGCAAUAGGCGGACGCCUGAUGCAACGGCGCCGCGUGCGGGAUGCCGGCCUUCGGGUUGUAAACCGCUUUCGCCUGUGACGAAGCGUGAGUGACGGUAAUGGGUAAGAAAGCCCCGGCUAACUACGUG
rnacentral:rRNA from 1 species